rnacentral:rRNA from 1 species
GUACCCUUCCCUUAACGGCGAGUGAAGCGGUAAAAGCUCAAAUUUGAAAUCUGGCUCUUUCAGAGUCCGAGUUGUAAUUUGUAGAAGAUGCUUCGGGUGUGGUUCCGGUCUAAGUUCCUUGGAACAGGACGUCAUAGAGGGUGAGAAUCCCGUAUGUGACUGGAUACCUAUGCUCAUGUGAAGCUCUUUCGACGAGUCGAGUUGUUUGGGAAUGCAGCUCAAAAUGGGUGGUAUAUUUCAUCUAAAGCUAAAUAUUGGCCAGAGACCGAUAGCGCACAAGUAGAGUGAUCGAAAGAUGAAAAGCACUUUGGAAAGAGAGUUAAACAGUACGUGAAAUUGUUGAAAGGGAAGCGCUUGCAAUCAGACUUGCACUUGGUGUUCAUCAGGGUUUCGUGCCCUGUGUACUUCAUCAAGUUCAGGCCAGCAUCAGUUUGAGUGGUUAGAUAAAGGCUUGGAGAAUGUGGCCCUCUUCGGGGGGUGUUAUAGCUCCAGGUGCAAUGUAGCCUACUUGGACUGAGGACCGCGCUUCGGCUAGGAUGCUGGCGUAAUGGUUGUAAGCGACCCGUCUUGACACCGGAACCAGCA